UAGGGAAUUUUGGACAAUGGGCGAAAGCCUGAUCCAGCAACGCCGCGUGCGCGAUGAAGGCCUUCGGGUUGUAAAGCGCUUUUAGAGGAGAUGAGAAAGGACAGUAUCCUCUGAAUAAGCCUCGGCGAACUACGUGCCAGCAGCCGUGGUAAAACGUAGGAGGCUAGCGUUAUCCGGAUUUAUUGGGCGUAAAGCGUGUGCAGGCGGUUUAGUAAGUUGGAUGUGAAAGCUCCUGGCUUAACUGGGAGAGGUCGUUCAAAACGUACUAGACUAGAGUAUGGGAGAGGGAGGUGGAAUUCCGGGUGUAGUGGUGAAAUGCGUAGAUAUCCGGAGGAACACCGAGUGGCGAAAGCGGCCUCCUGGACCAUUACUGACGCUUAAACGCGAAAGCUAGGGUAGC
rnacentral:rRNA from 1 species